rnacentral:lncRNA from 1 species
AUGCCAAUCACCUCACUGCCUUGCUAAUUAGAACCUAAAAGAUUGUUCACCACAACACUAUUGUAGUGAGUAACUAAUGGAUGAUGGAAACAAUUAAUUGGAUUAAUUAUGUGUUGUGAUUAAUUUAGAAAAGUCUAAAGAAAUCAUAAAAGCGAUAAAGAUCGUUUUGGGCUUAAAGAAACGUUCGGGUUUAAUUAGGCCCAUUGGGCCUAAACCCAUUGGGCUUUUAUUCAAGCAUUGGAUGACUUGAAAUAACAAAAGCCCAAAGCCCAAAAACAACACAAAGGGGCCGGCCACUUUAGGUGAGGAAAGGUGAGAUAUUUAGUCAAGUGUUGACUAGGUUUUCUUUUUGUCUAUAUAAGCAACUUUAUAGAGAUAAAGUUCAUUAGGGUUUUUGUGAGUUUUGAACAACAAAAGAGGCAAAAGAAAAUAGCCAUCUUGAACCACAAAGGCCGGCCACCAAAGGGGAUUUUUACUAACAUCUCUUACACCCUUUUGGUUAUUCCUUCAUCCUUCUCACUACACUAGUGGGUGAGGAU